rnacentral:misc_RNA from 1 species
GAUGAAGAACGUAGCGAAAUGCGAUAAGUAGUGUGAAUUGCAGAAUUCAGUGAAUCAUCGAAUCUUUGAACGCACAUUGCGCCCCUUGGUAUCCCGAGGGGCAUGCCUGUUCGAGCGUCAUUUCACCACUCAAGCCUGGCUUGGUGUUGGGCGACGUCCUCUUUGGGGACGCGCCUCGAAACGCUCGGCGGCGUGGCACCGGCUUUAAGCGUAGCAGAAUCUUUCGCUUUGGAAGUCGGGGCCCCGUCUGCCGGAAGACCUGCUCGUAAGGUUGACCUCGGAUCAGGCAGGGAUACCCGCUGAACUUAAGCAUAUCAAUAAGCGGAGGA